ensembl:misc_RNA Metazoa_SRP Metazoan signal recognition particle RNA
GCCGGGCGUAGUGGCGGGUGCCUGUAAUCCCAGCUACUCAGGAGGCUGAGGCAGGAGAAUCACUUGAACCCGGGAGCUAGAGGUUGCAGUGAGCUGAGAUCGCGCCACCGCACUCCAGCCUGGGUGACAGAGUGAGAUUCUGUCUCAA